GCAAGUCGAACGGUAACAGGCCCUUCGGGGUGCUGACGAGUGGCGGACGGGUGAGUAACGCGUAGGAAUCUGCCUUGUAGUGGGGGAUAGCCCGGGGAAACCCGGAUUAAUACCGCAUACGCUCUACGGAGGAAAGUGGGGGAUCUUCGGACCUCACGCUAUGAGAUGAGCCUACGUCCGAUUAGCUAGUUGGUGGGGUAAGAGCCUACCAAGGCGACGAUCGGUAGCUGGUCUGAGAGGAUGAUC
rnacentral:rRNA from 1 species